CAAGGACUUAGAGUUGAUCGAUUGCAGACUGUCCGUCCACGUCAAUAAAGUUUUGCUACAUGAAAGAACAAGAGACAUUACAGUUUGGUCCAACUCUUCCUCACAGGUUAGUUAAUGACAGACAGUCAGUGAGUGUGUGUGUGUCCAACUCUUCCUCACAGGUUAGUUAAUGACAGACAGUCAGUGAGUGUGUCUGUGUCCAACUCUUCCUCACAGGUUAGUUAAUGACAGACAGUCAGUGAGUGUGUCUGUGUCCAACUCUUCCUCACAGGUUAGUUAAUGACAGACAGUCAGUGAGUGUGUCUGUGUCCAACUCUUCCUCACAGGUUAGUUAAUGACAGACAGUCAGUGAGUGUGUCUGUGUCCAACUCUUCCUCACAGGUUAGUUAAUGACAGACAGUCAGUGAGUGUGUGUGUGUCCAACUCUUCCUCACAGGUUAGUUAAUGACAGACAGUCAGUGAGUGUGUCUGUGUCCAACUCUU